rnacentral:rRNA from 1 species
ACGGAAGGCAGCAGUGGGGGAUAUUGCGCAAUGGAGGAAACUCUGAUGCAGCAACGCCGCGUGAGGGAAGAAGGUCUUCGGAUUGUAAACCUUUGUUUUUGGUGAAGAUAAUGACGGUAGCCAAAGAGGAAGCCACGGCUAACUACGUGCCAGCAGCCGCGGUAAUACGUAGGUGGCAAGCGUUGUCCGGAAUUACUGGGUGUAAAGGGUGCGCAGGCGGGUCAGCAAGUUGGAUGUGAAAUACCGGGGCUUAACCCCGGAGCUGCAUCCAAAACUGUUGAUCUUGAGUGAAGUAGAGGUUGGCGGAAUUCCGAGUGUAGCGGUGAAAUGCGUAGAUAUUCGGAGGAACACCAGUGGCGAAGGCGGCCAACUGGGCUUUAACUGACGCUGAGGCACGAAAGCAUGGGGAGCAAACAGGAUUAGAUACCCUGGUA